UACGAACUGUGCAAACGUUAUUCGGAAUCACUGGGCUUAAAGGGUGCGUAGGCGGCCACCGCAAGUCGACUGUGAAAUCUCCGGGCUUAACCCGGAAAGGUCAGCCGAUACUGCGGGGCUAGAGUGCAGAAGGGGCAACUGGAAUUCUCGGUGUAGCGGUGAAAUGCGUAGAUAUCGAGAGGAACACCUGCGGCGAAGGCGGGUUGCUGGGCUGACACUGACGCUGAACUGCGAAAGCUAGGGGAGCAAACAGG
rnacentral:rRNA from 1 species